rnacentral:rRNA from 1 species
UACGUAGGUGGCGAGCGUUAUCCGGAAUUAUUGGGCGUAAAGGGUGCGUAGGCGGUGAGUUAAGUUUAUGGUGAAAGCGUGGGGCUCAACCCCAUAAAGCCAUAGAUACUGGCUUACUAGAGUACUGGAGAGGGAAGUGGAAUUCCAUGUGUAGCGGUAAAAUGCGUAGAUAUAUGGAGGAACACCGGUGGCGAAGGCGGCUUCCUAGACAGAUACUGACGCUGAGGCACGAAAGCGUGGGGAGCAAAUA